GGGCCCGUAGCUCAGCAUGGACAGAGCGGCGGCCUGCGGAGCCGUAGGUCGAGGGUUCAAAUCCCUCCGGGCCCG
rnacentral:tRNA from 4 species